GCGGAAAUAGCUCAGUUGGUAGAGUACAACCUUGCCAAGGUUGGGGUCGCGGGUCCGAGUCCCGUUUUCCGCU
rnacentral:tRNA from 2 species